rnacentral:rRNA from 1 species
AUUGAACGCUGGCGGUAGGCCUAACACAUGCAAGUCGCGCGGAGCGGCGGACGGGUGAGUAAUGCCUAGGAAUCUGACUGGUAGUGGGGGAUAACGUCCGCAAACGGGCGCUAAUACCGUAUACUAUCAGAUGAGCCUAGGUCGGAUUAGCUAGUUGGUGGGGUAAAGGCCUACCAAGGCUACGAUCCGUAACUGGUCUGAGAGGAUGUGCAGUCACACUUGAACUGAGACACGGGCCAGACUGCUACGUGAGGCAGCAGUGGGGAAUAUUGGACAAUGGGCGUAAGCCUGAUCCAGCCAUGCCGCGUGUGUGAAGAAGGUCUUCGCAUCGUAAAGCCCUUUAAGCUGGGCGGCGCUACCAACAGAAUAAGCAGCGGCUAACUUCGUGCCAGCAGCCGCGGUAAUUC